rnacentral:rRNA from 1 species
GAAACCUGGUUGAUCCUGCCAGUUGUCAUAUGCUUGUCUCAAAGAUUAAGCCAUGCAUGUCUAAGUAUAAGCAUUUAUACUGUGAAACUGCGAAUGGCUCAUUAAAUCAGUUAUAGUUUAUUUGAUAGUACCUUACUACUUGGAUAACCGUGGUAAUUCUAGAGCUAAUACAUGCGACAAACCGCGACUUUUGG